CUGCUGCUUGUUAUCUGGCCCGCUCUUUCGCGCUCCGCUCCCGUAGUAGCGGACCCGUAGUCGUUUCAGCUUCAGUCUUUCUUUCUAGUUCUGUUGCUACUCGUUCGCGAAAUCAGUUGACUUUCUGCUGCAACACAAGCGGAUGAAAUUUUUUUGUUUUAGUGUUGCGAAAAAGUUUGCAACAAUUGCCAGAAAUCGGGGAAAAAUGUGAAAAUUAUACGUUUAAGUGCAAUGUUAGAUCAAAGGCAACGAGGAAAGACGGAGCAACAACGCAGGAGGCAGAAGCAGCAGCAGCACUACGUAACAAACGCAACACAACAAUAACAAGUGCAACAAUUACAACAACUACAACAACAAACAACCAACAUGUGAAUUGGGUUUUUUUUUUGUACCACAACAAAACCACGAAGAACAAGUGUAGCCACAGCCUGAGAGAGAGGGAGAGUGAAAGAAGGAGAAAGCGAAAAGCGAAGAGCGCCAUAAGAAAGAGACAAAGAAAGAAAAAGCCGCCAAAAUGUUAUAACAACAACAGAAACAACAAACCAACAACAAAUUACAGCAAACAAAUACAAAAAUAACAAAAACAACAAAUGUAAAAUGAAAACGCAAUAAGAAAUAACGGUUAAAGCAAAACAAAACAAAAACCAUUUCGCGCGCGCUCUUUUUCCUUCUACCCUUUGUUUCUCUCAAAUAAGGACGAGGGAACACUGAAACACACACACACAAAAAAAAAAAAAACCAAACAAACAAACAAAAAUCGCUGCUUCUACGAAUUUUAUUAUUUCGUCAAACGUUUCUUUGAAAACUUAAUCCAUCAUCGAUCGUCAUAAUCGUCAAAAUACCCCCCACACCCAACCACAAUAUUCCGGCAAUAAUAAUAACAACAACAACAACAACAACAAAAACUGCAAAUGCAAUAAAAUGAACAACUUUUACAAGUUGGUAGAAACAGCAACAGAGACAGAAACGUAAGAACAGAAGAAGAAAAAAAAGUGCAAAAAGGGAGCAGCCACCACCAGCAACACCACCACACACAUCCCCCCAUCCCCAAACCAAGGUCAUCUCUUUGGUGGGGCAAACCAACAC